CYCCCCAAACCCAAUGUGAACGUUACCAAACUGUUGCCUCGGCGGGGUCACGCCCCGGGUGCSUYKCAGCCCCGGAACCAGGCGCCCGCCGGAGGAACCAACCAAACUCUUUCUGUAGUCCCCUCGCGGACGUAUUUCUUUACAGCUCUGAGCAAAAAUUCAAAAUGAAUCAAAACUUUCAACAACGGAUCUCUUGGUUCUGGCAUCGAUGAAGAACGCAGCGAAAUGCGAUAAGUAAUGUGAAUUGCAGAAUUCAGUGAAUCAUCGAAUCUUUGAACGCACAUUGCGCCCGCCAGUAUUCUGGCGGGCAUGCCUGUCCGAGCGUCAUUUCAACCCUCGAACCCCUCCGGGGGAUCGGCGUUGGGGAUCGGGACCCCUCACACGGGUGCCGGCCCCUAAAUACAGUGGCGGUCUCGCCGCAGCCUCUCCUGCGCAGUAGUUUGCACAACUCGCACCGGGAGCGCGGCGCGUCCACGUCCGUAAAACACCCAACUUUCUGAAAUGUUGACCUCGGAUCAGGUAGGAAUACCCGCUGAACUUAAGCAUAUCAAUAAGCGGARRAA
rnacentral:rRNA from 1 species